rnacentral:ncRNA from 1 species
UAUGCCUGACCAGGGUGAAGCCAGAGGAAACUCUGGUGGAGGUCCAUAGCGGUCCUGACGUGCAAAUAGGUCAUCUGACCUGGGUAUA